AUUGAACGCUGGCGGCAUGCUUUACACAUGCAAGUCGAACGGCAGCGCGGGCUUCGGCCUGGAGGCGAGUGGCGAACGGGUGAGUAAUGCAUCGGAACGUGCCCAGUAGUGGGGGAUAGCCCGGCGAAAGACGGAUUAAUACCGCAUACGACCUGAGGGUGAAAGCGGGGGACCGAAAGACCUCGCGCUAUUGGAGCGGCCGAUGUCGGAUUGGCUAGUUGGUGGGGUGAAGGCUUACCAAGGCGACGAUCCGUAGCUGGUCUGAGAGGACGACGAGCCACACUGGAACUGAGACACGCCCCAGACUCCUACGGGAGGCCGCAGUCGGGAAUUUUGGACAAUGGGGGCAAACCUGAUCCAGCCAUGCCGCGUGCGGUACGAAGGCCUUCGGGUUGUAAAGCGCUUUUGUUCGGGAAGAAACGCUUUGGGCUAAUACCCCGCGGGGAUGACGGUACCGGAUGAAUAAGCACCGGCUAACUACGUG
rnacentral:rRNA from 1 species